rnacentral:lncRNA from 1 species
CUCCCAUUUACUCGGUUUUCUCAGGGGCACGAAACCACGCCUAUGCAUAUGCGCGAGGAAGCGUCCUUUAGUUGCCACGGAGACAGGGCAACCCGGAAAACGUGUUCCCGAAAGUUUUAAAGGGACAGUAACUAGGAGUUUCAGUUAAACCGUCCGCUCCUGGCAUCAUCAUCAUCAUCAUCAUCAUCAUCACCACCACCACCACCACCACCACCACCACCGCUGUUGUUUAUUCUAACUUUUAACUUUACUCCGUAACGUUUUAUCUGCUAGAUACAAUAGUUUUCUCACAUUUUGGCAGUCUUCGUCCAGUUGUUGGAAGUUGGGGCUCUGGGAACUGUCAGUUAAGGUUCCUGGUGGAAAGCGUCGCAUCUGCCACAAUGUAAACAAUACAAGAGUCCAAGAAUCUUGAGGUAAGGACAUCUGAAGAAAAAUAUAAACCCAACAAGGAGAAAACUCAGCCACAAGGUAAUAAAUUCUACUCCUAAAAUAUUUGGCUAA